UUGGAAAUGAUGCAUUUAAAAACAUCUGACUCUCUGUGAUGGUGUUUGUAUUCAUACUGUCUGAUCCAG